UAAAAAUCUUGACGGGAUGUCUAGUUGUUCAACGCAAACGGAAAGAACGAUCAAUUGGACGAAAAUGUUUUCGAUUCGAGUUUGAAUAAAGCUCUGGCUUGUACGGAGAGCAAUACUAUUUCACGGAGCAAUCCUUAACCCAGAAAUUGUCGGAAGCAAGCCUGGCAAGGGAAAAACUGUUCAGUGAUGUCAAGUUUAAUCUAUACUGGAUGGACGAGCAGCAGGAGAAGGAUAUUAUGAGCGGAGGACUGAGCAGUUUGCGGAUCAGGUCCAUCAGCAGCAAUCAAUUGAAUUGUCCGAAGAAAACGGGAUAUUUUCUGAGCCCUCAAUCGGUGAUGAGGCCAAUGAGGAUGCCGAUGGUGAUGGCAAUGAGAGAAGCCCUCCCAGGUUAGGCAAUCCGAAAGCGCUUCAAGUAAAACUCUAAUUCGACAUUGACGUAGGAGAAGCGAUUUCCAUCGCUUGAUUCACCGGAUAAGUAAGUUCGAUUCACGGCCGAACCUCGAAUAUCCGGAAGACCAGAAGUAACCAAGGAACGUGCGAAAACAUGCGUCCGGAAAGGGUACAUUAUAGGAGAGUGUGUAUGUUUCAACAGACGUCAUACGAAGCCGCAACAAAUGGAUCACGAAAAGCGAUUUAACAGUACACGAAUAGUUCAGCAGAUAAGAAGGCUCCGUUAGCGAUCGAGUAGCUGUCGAUAAGUUAUUUGCUGUUGAAGGAAUAAAUGUGGAUUUAUGGACGGAGACGAAAAUUUGAACGAUUGGUUCCAGGCUGUUCCAAGUUGUUUAGAACAGGAUGCGCGGCAUUCGAGAUGAUACAACACAGCAAGAGUUGUGCUCGAUUCGCGUGGUGCGAUUGGUAGAGCAAUUGUAAGAUUUCAUAUCCGUUGAUUGAUCAUAAAAAUAAAACGGAAAAAUUGUAAAAA